AACGUAGGAGGCGAGCGUUAUCCGGAUUUACUGGGCGUAAAGCGCGUGCAGGCGGUUCGGCAAGUUGGAUGUGAAAGCUCCUGGCUCAACUAGGAGAGGUCGUUCAAUACUACCGAACUUGAGGGCAUCAGAGGAAGGUGGAAUUCCCGGUGUAGUGGUGAAAUGCGUAGAUAUCGGGAGGAACACCAGUGGCGAAAGCGGCCUCCUGGACCGUACCUGACGCUCAGAUGCGAAAGCUAGGGGAGCGAACGGGAUUAGAAACCCGAGUAGU
rnacentral:rRNA from 1 species